CCUACGUGAGGCAGCAGUGGGGAAUAUUGCGCAAUGGGCGAAAGCCUGACGCAGCGACGCCGCGUGAGGGAUGAAGGUCUUCGGAUCGUAAACCUCUGUCAGCAGGGAAGAACGGUCACUGUGCUAAUCAGCAGUGAAUUGACGGUACCUGCAAAGGAAGCACCGGCUAACUCCGUGCCAGCAGCCGCGGUAAUACGGAGGGUGCGAGCGUUAAUCGGAAUUACUGGGCGUAAAGCGCUCGUAGGCGGUAUGUCAAGUCAAGGGUGAAAUCCCCGCGCUCAACGUGGGAACUGCCUUUGAAACUGGCAAACUGGAGUGUGUGAGAGGAUAGUGGAAUGCCAGGUGUAGGAGUGAAAUCCGUAGAUAUCUGGAGGAACAUCAGUGGCGAAGGCGACUAUCUGGCACAUAACCGACGCUGAGGAGCGAAAGCGUGGGUAGCAAACAGGAUUAGAUACCCUAGUAGUC
rnacentral:rRNA from 1 species